GGAGGGGUGGCUGAGCGGUUGAAAGCGCCAGUCUUGAAAACUGGAGGAUCCGCAAGGGUCCCGUGGGUUCGAAUCCCACCCCCUCCA
rnacentral:tRNA from 1 species